AACGAACGCUGGCGGCAUGCCUAACACAUGCAAGUCGAACGAGACCUUCGGGUCUAGUUGCGCACGGGUGCGUAACGCGUGGGAACCUGCCUUUAGGUUCGGAAUAACUCAGAGAAAUUUGAGCUAAUACCGGAUGAUUUCUUCGGACCAAAGAUUUAUCGCCUUUGGAUGGGCCCGCGUUGGAUUAGCUAGUUGGUGGGGUAAAGGCCUACCAAGGCGACGAUCCAUAGCUGGUCUGAGAGGAUGAUCAGCCACACUGGGACUGAGACACGGCCCAGACUCCUACGGGAGGCAGCAGUGGGGAAUAUUGGACAAUGGGCGAAAGCCUGAUCCAGCAAUGCCGCGUGAGUGAUGAAGGCCUUAGGGUUGUAAAGCUCUUUUACCCGAGAUGAUAAUGACAGUAUCGGGAGAAUAAGCUCCGGCUAACUCCGUG
rnacentral:rRNA from 1 species